GGGGGAUAUUGCACAAUGGGGGAAACCCUGAUGCAGCGACGCCGCGUGGAGGAAGAAGGUUUUCGGAUUGUAAACUCCUGUCGUUAGGGACGAUAAUGACGGUACCUAACAAGAAAGCACCGGCUAACUACGUGCCAGCAGCCGCGGUAAAACGUAGGGUGCAAGCGUUGUCCGGAAUUACUGGGUGUAAAGGGAGCGCAGGCGGACCGGCAAGUUGGAAGUGAAAACUAUGGGCUCAACCCAUAAAUUGCUUUCAAAACUACUGGCCUUGAGUAGUGCAGAGGUAGGUGGAAUUCCCGGUGUAGCGGUGGAAUGCGUAGAUAUCGGGAGGAACACCAGUGGCGAAGGCGACCUACUGGGCACCAACUGACGCUGAGGCUCGAAAGCAUGGGUAGCAAACAGGAUUAGAUACCCUGGUAGUCCAUGCCGUAAACGAUGAUUACUAGGUGUUGGAGGAUUGACCCCUUCAGUGCCGCAGUUAACACAAUAAGUAAUCCACCUGGGGAGUACGACCGCAAGGUUGAAACUCAAAGGAAUUGACGGGGGCCCGCACAAGCAGUGGAGUAUGUGGUUUAAUUCGAAGCAACGCGAAGAACCUUACCAGGUCUUGACAUCCGAUGCAUAGCUUAGAGAUAAGUGAAGUCCUUCGGGACAUCGAGACAGGUGGUGCAUGGUUGUCGUCAGCUCGUGUCGUGAGAUGUUGGGUUAAGUCCCGCAACGAGCGCAACCCUUAUUGCCAGUUACUACGAAAGAGGACUCUGGCGAGACUGCCGUUGACAAAACGGAGGAAGGUGGGGAUGACGUCAAAUCAUCAUGCCCUUUAUGACCUGGGCUACACACGUACUACAAUGGCGUUUAACAAAGAGAAGCAAGACCGCGAGGUGGAGCAAAACUCAAAAACAACGUCUCAGUUCAGAUUGCAGGCUGCAACUCGCCUGCAUGAAGUCGGAAUUGCUAGUAAUCGCGGAUCAGCAUGCCGCGGUGAAUACGUUCCCG
rnacentral:rRNA from 1 species